rnacentral:ribozyme from 1 species
AAGCGGGGCGGCAUGCAUGUCGCGAAGCUUGCCAGGGAAACAUCGUUUUUCUUAAAACGAGCAUAUUAACUGGC